AUUGAACGCUGGCGGCAUGCCUUACACAUGCAAGUCGAACGGUAACAGGUCUUCGGAUGCUGACGAGUGGCGAACAGGUGAGUAAUACAUCGGAACGUGCCCGAUCGUGGGGGAUAACGGAGCGAAAGCUUUGCUAAUACCGCAUAAGAUCUACGGAUGAAAGCAGGGGACCGCAAGGCCUUGCGCGAACGGAGCGGCCGAUGGCAGAUUAGGUAGUUGGUGGGAUAAAAGCUUACCAAGCCGACGAUCUGUAGCUGGUCUGAGAGGACGACCAGCCAAACUGGGCCUGGGACACGGCCCAGACUCCUACGGGAGGCAGCAGUGGGGAAUGUUGGACAAUGGGCGCAAGCCUGAUCCAGCCAUGCCGCGUGCAGGAUGAAGGCCUUCGGGUUGUAAACUGCUUUUGUACGGAACGAAAAGACUCUUUCUAAUAAAGAGGGUCCAUGACGGUACCGUAAGAAUAAGCACCGGCUAACUACGUGCCAGCCGCCGCCGUAAUAC
rnacentral:rRNA from 1 species